AACGUAGGAGGCAAGCGUUAUCCGGAGUUACUGGGCGUAAAGCGCAUGUAGGCGGUUGGGUAAGUGGCGUGUGAAAGCUCCCGGCUAAACUGGGAGAGGACAGGUCAGACUGCCGAACUGGAGUUCGAUAGAGGAGCGUAGAAUUCCGGGUGUAGCGGUGAAAUGUGUAGAGAUCCGGAGGAAUACCAGUGGCGCAAGCGGCGCUCUGGGUCGGGACUGACGCUGAGAUGCGAAAGCGUGGGGAGCGAACGGG
rnacentral:rRNA from 1 species